rnacentral:rRNA from 1 species
GGGGAUAACAGGCUGAUACCGCCCAAGAGUUCACAUCGACGGCGGUGUUUGGCACCUCGAUGUCGGCUCAUCACAUCCUGGGGCUGAAGUCGGUCCCAAGGGUAUGGCUGUUCGCCAUUUAAAGUGGUACGCGAGCUGGGUUUAGAACGUCGUGAGACAGUUCGGUCCCUAUCUGGUGUGGGCGUUGGAUGAUUGAUGGGAGCUGCUCCUAGUACGAGAGGACCGGAGUGGACGAACCGCUGGUGUUCGGGUUGUCAUGCCAAUGGCAUUGCCCGGUAGCUAUGUUCGGAACGGAUAACCGC